UGGGGAAUAUUGCACAAUGGGCGCAAGCCUGAUGCAGCCAUGCCGCGUGUGUGAAGAAGGCCUUCGGGUUGUAAAGCACUUUCAGCGGGGAGGAAGGCGAUAAGGUUAAUAACCUUGUCGAUUGACGUUACCCGCAGAAGAAGCACCGGCUAACUCCGUGCCAGCAGCCGCGGUAAUACGGAGGGUGCAAGCGUUAAUCGGAAUUACUGGGCGUAAAGCGCACGCAGGCGGUCUGUCAAGUCGGAUGUGAAAUCCCCGGGCUCAACCUGGGAACUGCAUCUGAUACUGGCAAGCUUGAGUCUCGUAGAGGGGGGUAGAAUUCCAGGUGUAGCGAUGAAAUGCGUAGAGAUCUGGAGGAAUACCGGUGGCGAAGGCGGCCCCCUGGACGAAGACUGACGCUCAGGUGCGAAAGCGUGGGGAGCAAACAGG
rnacentral:rRNA from 1 species